UACGUAGGGUGCGAGCGUUGUCCGGAAUUACUGGGCGUAAAGAGCUUGUAGGUGGUUUGUCGCGUUGUUCGUGAAAUCUCACGGCUCAACUGUGAGCGUGCGGGCGAUACGGGCAGACUAGAGUACUGCAGGGGAGACUGGAAUUCCUGGUGUAGCGGUGGAAUGCGCAGAUAUCAGGAGGAACACCGGUGGCGAAGGCGGGUCUCUGGGCAGUAACUGACGCUGAGAAGCGAAAGCGUGGGGAGCGAACAGG
rnacentral:rRNA from 1 species